AUUCAUCAUUAAAGAAGUAAAGAAGAGACCGGGAACUACGCGAUCAAGAGGAGAAGGUUCCUUAGGUUCAAGACUCUCUUCUUUUUGAAGCUGAUGGUCCUUUCCAUCAAUGACCCACCAAGGAUGGAGAAGGACAGAAAUGGCAUGGCUUCAAGGAUAUUAGACCUCACCCUGGAGAUCAUCUCCUUGAUAACGGGAGAGGAUUACACAGUAGUGAAGCAGUCGUCUGGUGAGUGUGUGACACCCCGUGUGUCAGGAGGAU